rnacentral:rRNA from 1 species
UUGACGGGGGCCCGCACAAGCGGUGGAGCAUGUGGUUUAAUUCGAAGCAACGCGAAGAACCUUACCAGGUCUUGACAUCCUUUGACCACUCUGGAGACAGAGCUUUCCCUUCGGGGACAAAGUGACAGGUGGUGCAUGGUUGUCGUCAGCUCGUGUCGUGAGAUGUUGGGUUAAGUCCCGCAACGAGCGCAACCCUUGAUUUUAGUUGCCAGCAUUUAGUUGGGCACUCUAAAGUGACUGCCGGUGCAAGCCGGAGGAAGGUGGGGAUGACGUCAAAUCAUCAUGCCCCUUAUGACCUGGGCUACACACGUGCUACAAUGGAUAGUACAAAGGGUCGCGAAGCCGCGAGGUGGAGCUAAUCCCAUAAAACUAUUCUCAGUUCGGAUUGUAGGCUGCAACUCGCCUACAUGAAGCCGGAAUCGCUAGUAAUCGUGGNNNNNNNNNNCUUGUACACACCGCCCGUCACACCACGAGAGUUUGUAACACCCGAAGUCGGUAGGGUAACCUUUAUGGAGCCAGCCGCCGAAGGUGGGACAGAUAAUUGGGGUGAAGUCGUAACAAGGUAGCCGUAUCGGAAGGUGCGGCUGGAUCACCUCCUUUCU